GUCGCAGAGUAACAGGGAGCCCAUCCCUAUGGAGGGAUGGGAGUCAGUCUAUAUCCCACAGUAUGAGCAUGUGGGGAGAGAAUACAGGGGCAACACUGCCCCCCACUCCAGCUGCUGGCUGAGAGAUGCAGGACCUGGGACCCAUUGCUGCACACAGUCCAGGGGGGAUAGACUCCGCCGGGGGCGAGGAUACUGCAUGCUCCUGGGAUGCAGAGCAGUGCUUCUCAAGGACCGGUCCGUGGACCGGUGCCGGUCACUGAGAUCUCCCUGACACAGUUUAGGAAGGCAGCAAGCCGGUGCCUGGUAUCAAAAAGGUUGAGAAACACUGAAGGAGCCUCCCUGUCAGAGCAGGGCUUGCGGGGAGGAGAUGGGAGGGGCUGUGGUGACACAUUGCACCAGCCAUUGGGCAGCUGCCAACAUGCCACUGGCUGAGUCAGCAGCCGGAGAGGCGGGGUAAAAAGAAAUUGACCAGUGCAGAUUCACACCCUUCUGCAUCGCAAAGGGGAUGGUGCUCUCUCUGCACCUCCAAACGGGGCAAGCUGGGGCUUGUACACUUUGAUCUGGCCAAGAGGAGUCUCCGCCGGUUUAUUUUUCGGCAUGUAGAGGAUUAUUGGGGAAUUGCUGCUCCGCCAGCCAGGUGAGUAUUGGCACCAGCGAUGAGCCAGAUCCCCGGCUGGUGUAGACAGACCUAAGUGGGGCUACACCGGAUUGACACGGCAGCUGGGGAGCUCAUGGAGCCGGGGAGAUGGAAUGUUGAUUUUGAUUACACCACUGAAAGCGCUGGUUGUUCGAGUGGAUGAAGAGGACAAUGGAAGGGGGACCUGCCCUGGUUGCUACAUCCCGGAUUCCGGAGAGCCCAUGGGAAGCGCGGAGUGGGAAGGAGGCCAGGCUGGUGCCUCUGCCUGGAAUUGGCGCCGUGAGUCUGACACAGAGACACCCAGCCGGAGAAGCACUGAGGAUGCUGGGACCAGGGAGCCAUGGAGGUUGCCGGUAAGAGGGGGAAGGAAAUUGCUUUCUGCCUGGGGCGUCUUUCAGUUGCUACACAGAGAACACUGGAUCUGCAGCCGACCACAAGAAGAACCAGAGUGUGAAAGCUUACAAAGAAAUCAACAAUGCAAGAGCCUAGUGCGAUCCCAUCUUGUCACCCUCCAAGCAAUGCAAGACUGUUCCCUACAGUUGAUUCUCCAGGGCUUCGCCCAGUCCCAGUUAAGCCACUCCACUAAUGGGGUUUCUAUUGCUUCCCCGGGGGAGAAUGUGCCACAGCCGGAUGGAUCACCUCACUGUUAGGAAAUUUUCCCUUUUGCUCAAUCUCACCCCUCCAAGCACUCCCACCCCCUGAGUCUUAUCGCUUGUUCCCAUGACUCCCGUACACGCUGUUCACCCACGUUACACACGUUUUCCUCUCCAUCUCAUUAGUCAAAUGAUCCACGAACCAGGGGAAGAUCAUUGCUGCUCACCCACCUAAGUCGCAUGCAGGGAUGGAUCCAGUAGGCAAGCUCUGACCAGGCCUACCAGCUCAGACCCCCCCCUUAGAAUGCUCCCCUGGGAUGUGGAAGAUGUAGGUUCAAUUCCCACCUCUGCCCAAGGGGGAGGAAAAGAUUUGAACAGGGUUUCCCCACCACGCAGGUGAUUGCACUGAGCUAUGGGGUAUGCUGUUGUGGAGCUUCCCCUGAAGUUGUUCCACUGUGGAUAAAUAACUAAAGAAUCACUGGGGCAGAGAGUGAAUAAGAGAGCAAAUGACUCUAAAACUUCAUCAUUAGUACACCCCCCAAGAAGCUGUAGGUCCAGUCCCCCUGCUCCAAUUCUUUAUACAAAGUGGAGCUGAGUCUGCAGCCCCUAAGCAUUACAGGGUUUUUUUAACAAAGCCUGUAGCACUGACGGAAGUAAAGAAAACCUCCCAAACAAGAACCGAGUCCACAUUCGGUGGUGACGUCUGCUUGAAUCAGCAAACAGCUGGCCGGGCCUCAUUUUUAAUUUGAAGUUGCUUUGUUUAACUUCCAGCCAUUGGUUCUUACUCUGCCUUCUGCUACUAGAGUCACGAUUUAGCACCUGGUAAUUUCUCUCCCCGAUGGUAUUUAUACACUGUGAUCACCUCUUGAUCUUAACGUGAACAAACUGAGCCCUCAGUCUCUCACCAUAUGGCAUUUUUUCCCAGCCCUUGAAUAAUCUGUAGGUUAAUCUCUGCACCCUCUCCAGUUUUUUAACAUCCUUUUUAAAAACGUUGACACCAGAACUGGGCGUAGUAUUCACCAAUGGCCCAUACGGAGCUUACAUCACCUCUCUACACCUUCCUGUUACUCCCCUGUUUGUCCAUCCAAAUGAUAACAUUAGCCCUUUUAGCCACAACAGCGCACUGGGAGCUCAGGUUGAGUUGUUUGUUCACCGUGGCUGCUAGAUCCUUCUCAGACCAAAAAAAGACACAGACAGCAAGAAAAAUAUAAACAUUCCUAGUGAAAUCA